CGUCGUGGCUGGCAGGGUAGGAAGGGAUGCGUGUCCAGGUGAGAAAGAGGUGUGACGUGCAGAUGGGAUGCCCGCCGCUAUGACGCUGCCGAGACCCGCGGUGACUGCGUCAGAGUUUCACCCGGGGAGAGCUCCCUCUUUGCCCACUAGCAGGGCAUUAGCUGGUGCUGAAGACAGUGGCUGCUUGGCGAGCCUGGAUCUCCAAGUGACCCCCUCAGCAACUCCUGAUGAACAGGACUGAAGCCAAUAUUAAAGCAAGUCAACCAAAGGUUCUCUGGUGUAGACAAGACAGCAAAAGGACAGACUACCUUGUGGAACCUAGCAUUGUUCUCCUUCUGCAGCACUAAGUAACAUUUGUUCUCCGUUAAGAUCUUUGCAAACCACACACAAGAAUUGCUGGUCAUCCUGCCAAUAGAUGCUGCUCACAGAACCAAAUUUCCUGUGCUGAAUUGUCACUCAUGGGCUUGAGAGUAGGAGACUGGAGACCAAGGUGGCUAGAAUCCAGUUGGGCCUGAUGUCUCCCUGUUGAAAGGGCUCCUUGUGGAAUGAAUAGCACAUGGCUCCUGUGGUGGAUCUGAUAGUGGCAUAGCACCAAGUGAUGCAGGCCUGCCAGGGGCCACAGACACAGAAGAUGCUCCCGGGGUCCCCCAUGUACUCCAGACACACUGCAGGCCACCUCUCCCAGCAGGUUGCCAGUCAUGGGCCCCAUCAUCAUGACUUCUGUCCAAGGUACUGUGUGCAGAAAUGUGAUUGAGAUUCAAGUCAGGGCCUCUCUGCCCUUUUCCCUCCAGAAACAAAACCAAGAUAAUUUAUCCUGAACACGGUGAAAAAAGGAAGGGAGGGAGGAGAAAAAGUCCGGGUCUCACCUGGGAUUCUCUGUCUCCUGCAACAUGAAGGAUUUAGCCUGGGAGGAGGUGGUGAGAACUCUGGGAGAGAAAAAAGAAGGAAAGAAUAGUUUUACCCAUGCUGAAGUUAAUUUAAACCUUCACCUAGAGAAGCAAAAAAAAAAAACCCACACUUUCCCAUUUUGUGCCUCCCUUCCUAGAGUUUUAGCCAAAGGUUUAGCUAAGUAAUUGGUUUUACCAGCGCACUCACUCCUCCUAUCCCAAGUCUGUUUGACUCCCUCCCCAUCAUCCUCCUCACCUCUUUUCAGGCAGGGUGGGGAUAGCAGCAGGAGGAGAUUUUGGGAGCCUGGCAACUCCUGCAAGGACCGCAGGACAGCCCCUCUGUGGGGAUGCGUGGUGCCCCAUCUGCCGCCCUUCUGAAGAAUGCACUGCCUUCACUUUUUACUGUGUUAGAGUCCAUCCAGACUGUUCUAUCCAAAAAAGUUUCUUUUUCCCCCACAGGCAAUCAGGAAAUGAUUCCUUUCCCGACUGCUUCUGUCUAGUGCCUGGGAAUCUUGAGUCAAUCCCUCAGUAAGUCAGUGACUAGGGAAAUCCCUCUCUGAGCCUCCCAGUUCAUGUUGCUUAGGGAACCUGAUAUUUUCGUGAAACCUGCCUACACAUGGGCAGCCCAACAGCAGAACAAAUGGUGGUGACCAAAGUGAACAAAGAAGUAUAGUUGUGCCAGCUUCGUAGUUGCCCAUGUGGACAAGUCAGCAGGAUCAGGACACGAGGAAGAGUAAAUGUGAGACAGUCAAUGUGACUUCUGCGAUAAACAGAUUUUUAAACCCCGAAAUUUUGCAAAAUUUUGGUGAAACCUGAACUUUCUUCGUUGCAUAUACUGGCACUAUCUGUACCAUCAUACAACUGUCUCACAUUAAAGCUAUUUUUCUUGGGCACUGAUGAGUAAGGGACUUGCACUUAGGAAUCUGUUACAGUGAGCACAGAAGCAGACCUGUGGGCUCAUAGUCUUCACCCCCCACCCAUAUAUACAAGAUGAACAGAGUGGAGGUUAAACAACUUGACUAAACAACACAGUUCAUGGUAAAGCCCAAGACUGUACCUGCCCAUCCACUGCCUUUUCCAUGUAUCCUGGAACUGAGCAUAGACCUCUUCCCAGGCAGAGCUGACAGCAAGUAAAGGAGAUCAUAAUCAGGGGACCAAACAACUUUGUCUAAAGUGUGAAUGUCACCUAAGGAGAAGCUGUGAGAUCAGAAGGGUGGGGCAGAGGAGCAGACACCAUGAGGGAGAGUCCUUGGGGGUACAUCUGCCAGACUGACACUGUCUGGCCUGGGCAGUGGAGGGGCUAGCAGGAACCACAGGUACUGGUGGUGUGGCUACUACCGUUACAACUGCCUGUGCUUGGACAUGGACCCUCUGCAAUAUGCGGCAGUUUCAUUCAUUGCCCCCUACAUUCUACACCAAGUAGAAAUGGAAGGCAAUUGGAUACUUCACAGACAAGAUCUAAGUGGAGAAGGAAUGCGUCCUGUGGCUGCAGAGAUCCUUGGAGCUUGGAGGGGAGAGCUUGAGCCCCACUGAUGAUGACCUCCCACAGCUCGCCAACUCAGCCCUCCCUAAGUCCCCAUCGGGGGCCAAUUCUCACUCUGGGGUUGGGGGGACUCCACCAUAGCUCAUCCAUCAUAGGGAUGUUGGUAUCUACUGUGGGUUGGGUAGGGCCGAUGUGCUGAGGAUGGCUCCCCCACAAGCAAGAGAUGUGGAUUUGGGGAGCUUCCCAUCUUGUGUUGAAGGAACAUAACUCAGAAUAAUAAGAGCCAACUAUAACAAACCCACAGCCAACAUCAUACUGAAUGGGCAAAAGCUGCAGGCAUUCCCCUUGAAAAGUGGCACAGGAUAAGGAAGCCCUUUCUCACCACUCCUAUUCAAUAUAGUGUUGAAAGUCCUGAUCACAGCAGUCAGGCAACAGAAAUAAUAAAGGGCAUCCAAAUAGGAAGAGAGGAAGUCAAACUAUCCUUGUUUGCAGACAGUAUGAUUCUAUAUCUAGAAAACCCCAUAGCCUCAGCCCAAAAGGUCCUUCAUCUGAUAAUUUCAGCAAAGUUUCAGGAGACAAAAUCAGUGUACAAAAAUCACUAACAUUCCUAUACACAGUCGCCAAGCCAAGAGCCAAAUCAGGAGCACAAUCCCAUUCAUAAUUGCCACAAAAAAGAAUAAAAUACCCAGGAAUGCAGCUAACCAAGGAAGUAAAGGAUCUCUACAAUGAGAAUCACAAACGCUGCUCAAAGAAAUCAGAGAUGACACAAACAAAUGGAAAAACUUUCCAUGCUCAUGGCUAGGAAGAAUCAAUAUCAUUAAAGUGGCCAUACUACCCAAAGCAAUUUAUAGAUUCAAUGCUAUUCCUAUCAAACUAUCAAUUACAUUUUUCACAGAACUAGAAAAAACUUAAAAUUCAUAUGGAACCAAAAAGCCUGAGUAGUCAAGGCAAUCCUAAACAAAAAGAACAAAGGUGGAGGCAUCACAUUACCUAACUUCAAACUACAGGGCUACCAUGACCAAAACAGCAUGGUACUGGUACAAAAGCAGACACACAGACCAGUGGGACAGAAUAGAGAGCCCAAAAAUAAGGCCACAAACCUACAGCCAUCUGAUCUUCAACAAAGUUGACAAAAACAAGCAAUGGGGAAAGGUCUCCCUAUUCAAUAAAUGGUGCUGGGAUAACUGGCUGGCCAUAUGCAGAAGAUCGUAACUGGACCCCUUUUACUAUGUACAAAAAUUAAGAUGGUUUAAAGAGUUAAAACCCAAAAUUAUAAAAAUCCUGAAGAUAACUUAGGCAAUACCAUUCUGGACAUAGGAACUGGCAAAUAUUUCAUGAUGAAGACACCAAAAGCAAUUGUAACAAAAGCAAAAAUGGACAAAUUGGAUUUAAGAGCUUUUUCAUAGCAAAAUAAACAACAGGGCAGACAAUCUACCAAAUGACAGAAAAUUUUUGCAAACUAUGCAUCUGACAAGGGGCUAAUAUCUAGCAUCUAUAAGGAAUUUAAACACAGUUACAGGAAAAAAAAAACCCACUCCAUUAAAAAAUGGGCAAAGGACAUGAACAGACACUUUUCAAAAAAGACAUACAUACAGCCAACUAGCGUGUUAAAGAAAACCUCAAUUAUCACUGAUCAUUAGAGAAAUGCAAAAUCAAAACCAUGAUGAGAUAUCAUCUGCCAGUCAGGAUGGCUACAAAAAAGUAAAAAAAUAAUAGAUGUUGGUGAGGUUAUGGAGAAAAGGAACUUAUACACUUGUUAGGAGUGUAAAUUAGUUCAAUCACUGUGGACAGCAGUGUGGUGAUUCCUCAGAGAGCUAAAAACAACUACCAUUUGACUCACCAAUCCCAUUACUGGAUAUUUACCUAAAGGAAUAUAAAUCAUUCCACCAUAAAGACACAUGCAAGUGUAUGUUCAUUGCAGCACUAUUAACAGUAACAAAGCUGGGCACAGUGGCUCACCUCACGACUGUAAUCCCAGCACUUUGGGAGGCUGAGGUAGGCGGAUCACCUGAGGUCGGCAGUUUGAGACCAGCCUGACCAACAUGGAGAGACCCCAUCUCUACUAAAAAUACAAAAUUAGCCAGGUGUGGUGGCUCAUGCCUGUAAUCCCAGCUACUUGGGAGGCCAAGGCAGGAGAAUUGCUUGAACCCAGGAGGCAGAGGUUGCAGUGAGCCGAGAUCACACCAUUGCACUCUAGCCUGGUGAAGGAGCAAGACUCCAUCUCAAAAAAAAAAAAAAAAAAGAAAGAAAGAAAAAUACACAUUCAGAGGAGACAAAAAAUAAAAAACAAUGAUGCAUGCCCACAGGAUCUAGAAAAUAACUUCUUAAGGGCAAAUCUAGGAGUUAUUGGCCUUAAAGAAGAGAUAGAGAAAGAGAUAGGAAUAGAAAGUUUGUUGAAAGGGAUAAUAACAUAGAACUUCCUAAACCUACAGAAAGAUAUUUAUAUCCAAGUACAAGAAGGUUAUAGAACACCAGGCCAAUUUAACCCAAAGAUUACCUCAAGGCAUUUAAUAAUCAAACUCCCACAGGACAAGGGUAAAGAAAGGAUCCUAAAAGCAGCAAGAGAAAAGAAACAGAUAACAUACAAUGGAGCUCCAAUACAUCUGGCAGUAUAUUUUUCAGUGGAAACCUUACAAGCCAGGAGAGAGUGACAUGACAUAUGUUAAAGUGCUGAAGGGAAAAAACCUUUUACCCUAGAAUAGUAUAUCCAGCAAAAAUAUCCUUCAAACAUGAAGAAUAAACAAAGACUUCCCCAGACAAACAAAAGCUGAGGGAUUUCAUCAACACUAGACUGGUCCCAUAAGAAACGCUUAAGGGAGUACUUUGGUCAGAAAGAAACAGACAUUAAUGAGCAACAAAGAAUCAUCUAAAGGUAAAAAACUCACUGUUAAGAGUAAGUACACAGAAAAACCCAAAGUGUGAUAACAUUGUAACUGUGGUGUGUAAGUAGAAAGAAUAAAUGAUAAACCAAUCAAAAAUAGUAACUACAACUUUUCAAGACCAGUCAGAAAAAUAAGAUAAAAUUAGAAACAACAAAAAGUUAAAAAGUGGGGGGAUGAAGUUAAGAUGUAGAGUUUUUAUUAGUUUUUUGUUUGUUAAUGCAAACAGUGUUACCAGGUUAAAAUAAUGGGUUACAAAAUAGUAUUUGUAAUCCUUAUGGUAACCUCAAACCUAAAAACAUACACUGGAUACAUAAAAAAUAAAAAGCAAAAACCUAAAUCAUAUCACCAGAGCAAACUACCUUCCCUAAAGGAAGACAGGAAGAAAAGAAAGAAGAAGACCACAAAACAACCAGAAAACAAAUAAAUAACAAGGCAGGAGUAAGUCUUUACUUAUCGAUAAUACAUUGAAUGGAAAUAUGGACUAAACUCUCCAAUCAAAAGACAUAGACUGGCUGAAUGAAUGGAGAAAACAAGACCCAUUGAUCUGUUGCCUACAAGAAACACACUUAAACUAUAAAGACACACAUAGGCUGAAAGUAAAGAGUUGGAAAGAGUUAUUCCAUGCCAAUGGAAACCAGGAAAAAGAGAAGGAGUAUUGAUUUUGAUACAAAAACUAUGAGACAAAUAAAGUCACUAUACAAUGAUAAAGGGGUUAAUAUGGUUUCCAUUUGUGCCCCACCCAAAUUUCGUGUUCUAUUGUAAUCCUCAAUGUUGGAGGUGGGGCCUGGUGGGACGUGAUUAGAUCAUGGGGGUGGAUCUUUCAUGACUAAUUCAGCACCAUCUUCUUAGUGCUGUUCUCAUGAUAGUGAGUUCUUCUGAAAUCUGGUUGCUUAAAAGUGUGUAGCACCUCUCCACACCACCCGCUUGCCUUGGUCUACUCCUGCUAUGUAGAUGCUUGCUCCCACUUUGCAUUAUUCCAUGAGUAAAAGCUCCCUCAGGCCUUCCCAGAAUCAGAUGCCGCUAUGCUUCCUGAACAGCCUGUGGAACUAUGAGCCAAUUCAACCUCUUUUCUUCAUAAAUUAACAAGUCUUGGGUAUUUCUUUAUAGCAGUGUGAGAACAGAAUAAUACAGAAAAUUGGUAAAGAGGAGUGAGGCAUUGCUAGAAAGAUACCUGAAAAUGUGGAAACAGCAGUGGAACUGGGAAAUAGACAGAGGUUGGAAGAGUGUGGAGGGCUCCGAAGAUAGGAAGAUGAGGGGAAGUUUGGAAUUUCUUAGAGAUUUGUUAAAUUGUUUUGACCAAAAUACUGAUGGUGAUAUGGACAAUGAAGUCCAGGCUGAGGAGGUCUCAGAUGGAGAUGAGGGACUUAUUGGGACCUGGAGUGAAGGUCACUUUUGUUAGGACAUUGUGGUUGGAGACAUUGUGCCCCUGCCCUAGGAAUCUGUGGAACUUUGAACUUGAGAGCGAAGAUUUAGGGUAUCUGGCAGAAGAAAUUUCUAAGCAGCAAAGCGUUCAAGACGUGGCCUGGCUGCUUCUGGUAGUCUGUGCUCAUAUUUGUGAGCAAAGACAUGACAAGAAACUGGAACUUAUAUUUAAAAAGGAAGCAGAGUGUAAAAGUUUGGAGAAUUUGCAGCCUGGCCAUGUUGUAGAAAAGAAAAAAACCAUUUUCUGGAGAGGAAUUCAAGCUAGCUGCAGAAAAUUGCAAGUAACAAGGAGCAAAAUGUUGAUAGCCAAGAUAGUGGGAAAAACACCUUGAAGGCAUUUCAGAUACCUUGGGGGCAGCCUCUCCCAUCACAGGCCCAAAGGCCUAGGAGGGAAGGAUGGUUUCCUGGGCCAGGCUCAGGGUCCUGCUGCCCUGCACAACCUCAGGAAACUGCUCUCCAAAUCCCAGCUGCUCCAGCUCCAGCUUCAGCUCAAAGGGCCCCAGGUAUAGCUCAGGCUGCUGCUCCAUAGGAUGCAAGUUAUAAGCCUUAGUGGCUCCCGUGUGGUGUUAAAUUAAGCCUGUAGGUGCACAGAGUGCAAGAAUUGAGGCUUGGGAGCCUCCAACUAGAUUUCAGAGUAUGUGUGGGAAAGCCUGGAUGUCCAGGCAGAAGCCAGCUGCAGGGACAGAGCCCUCAUGGAGAACCUCUACUAGGGUAGUGUGGAGGGGAAAUUUGGGGUUGGAGUUCCCACACAGCUUCCCCUCUGGUGUACUGCCUAGUGGAGCUGUGAGAAGACAGCCACUGUCCUCCAGAUUCCAGGAUGAUAGAUCUGCCAAUGACAGCUUGCACUGUACAACUGGAAAAGCCACAGGCAGUCAAUGCCAGCCCGUGAAAGCAGUGACAGUGGCUUACCCUGCAAAGUCCCAGGGGCUGAGCUGCCCAAGGCCUUGGGAGCCCACCCCUUGCACCAGUGUGCCCUGGAUGUGAGAUAUGGAGUCAAAGGAGAGUAUUUUGGAGCUUUAAGAUUUAAUGACUACCUGCUGGGUUUCAGACUUGCAUGGGUCCAGUAGCCCCUUUCUUUUGGCCAAUUUCUCACUUUUGGAAUGGGAGUGUUUACCCAAUUCCUGUACCCCCACUGUAUGUUGGAAGUAACUAACUGUUUUUUUAUUUUGUAAGCUCACAGGUGGGAGAGACUUGCCUUGUCUCAGGUUGAGACUCUGGACUUUGGACUUUUGAAUUAAUGCUGGAAUGAGUUAAGACUUUGAGGGACUGUUGGGAAGAUAUAACUGUAUUUUGCAGUAUGAGAAGGACAUGAGAUUUGGGAGACACCAGAGGUGGAAUAAUAUGAUUUGGAUCUGCAUCCCCACCAAAAUCUCAUGUUCAAUUGUAAUCCUAAAUUUUGGAGGUUGAGCCUGGUGGAAGAGGAUUGGAUAAUGGGGGUGGUUUCUCAUGGUUUAACACCAUCCCCCUGGGUGCUGUUCUCAUGACAGUGAGUGAGUUAUUGUGAGAUCUGAUUGUUUAAAAGUGUGUGCCACCUCCUCCCACUUUCCUCCUGCUCCAGCCAUGUAAGACAGGCUUGCCUCCCCUUCACCUUUUGUCAUGAUUGUAAGUGUUCUGAGGCCUCCCCAGCCAUGCUUCCUGUACAGCCUGCAGAACUGUGAGCCAAUUAAACCUCUUUUCUCUAUAUAUUACCCAGUCUCGGGUAUUUCUUUAUAGCAGUGCAAGAAUAGACUAAUACAGGGUUCAAUUCAGCAAGAGGAUAUAACAAAUAUAAAUAUAUAUGCACUCAACACUGCAGCACCCAGAUAUAUAAAGCAAAUACGAUUAGAGCUAAAGAGAGAGAGUGACCCCAAUACAAUAAUAGCUGGAGACUUCAACACCACAUUUUCAGCACUGGACAGAUCUUCCAGACAGAAAAUAAAAAAGAAACAUCAGACUUAAUCUGCACUGUAGAUCAAAUGGAUCUAAUACAUACUUGCAGAACAUUUUAUCCAAUGGCUGCAGAAUACACAUUCUUUUUUAGCACAUGUAUCAUUCUCAAGGAUAGACCAUAUGUUAGGUCACAAGUCUUAAAACAUUAAAAAAGUUGAAUACCAUCAAGCAUCUUCUCUGACCACAGUGGAAUACAACUAGAAACUAAUAACAAGAGGAAUUUUUGAAACUACAAAUACAUGAAAAUUAAACAAUAUGCUCCUGAAUGACCAUUGAGUCAAUGAAGAAAUUAAGAAGGAAAUUGAACAAUUUCUUGAAACAAAUGAUAAAGGAAACACAACAUACCAAAACCUAUGGGAUACGGCAAAAGCAGUACUAAGAGGCAAAUUGAUAGCUAUAAGUGCCUACAUGAAAAAAGAGGAAAAACUUCAAAUAAGCAAUUUAACAAUGAACCUUAACCAGAAAAGCAAGAGCAAAACAAACACAAAAUUAGAAGAAAACAAAUAAUAAAAAUUAGAGCAUAAAUAAAUAAAAUUGAAAUAAAAAUCAAUGCAAAAGAACAAUGAAACAAAAAGUUGCUUUUUUUCAAAAGUUAAACAAAACUGACAAGCCUUUAGCAAGACUGAGAAAAAAGAGACAAGAUACAAAUCAGAAAUGAAAAAGACAUUACAACUGACACUGCAGAAAUUCAAAGGAUCAUUAGGGGCUACUAUGAGCAACUCUAUGCCAAUAAAUUGGAAAAUCUAGAAGAAAUUGACAAUUCCUAGACACAUACAACCUACUGAGACUGGACCAGGAAGAAAUCCAAAACCUGAACAGACUAAUAACAAGUAACAAGGUUGAAGCCAUAAUAAAAAGUCUCCCACUAAAGAAAACCAAGGACCCGAUGGCUUCACUGUUGAAUUCUACCAAACAUUUAAAGAAGAACUAAUACCAAUCCCACUCAAGCUAUUGAAAAAUAGAGGAGGAGAGAAUAUUUCCAAAGUCAUUCUAGGAGACCAGUAUCACCCUGAUACCAAAACCAGACAAAGACACAUCAAAAAAAGAAAACUGCUGGCCAAUUUCUCUGAUGAAUAUUGAUGCCAGAAUCCUCAGCAAAAUAUUAGCAAACUAAAUUCAACAAUACAUUAAAAAGAUCAUUCAUCAGGGUCGGGUGCAGUGGCUUAAGCCUCUAAUCCCAGCACUUUGGGAGGCCGAGGUGGGCAGAUCACCUGAGGUCAGGAGUUCAAGACCAGCCUGACCAACAUGGUGAAACCUCGUCUCUACUGAAAAUACAAAAUUAGCCGAGUGUGGUGGUGCAUGCCUGUAAUCCCAGCUACUCAGGAGACUGAGGCAGGAGAAUCACUUGAACCCAGGAGGUGGAGGUUGCAGUGAGCUGAGAUUGUGGCACUGCACUCCAGCCUUGGUGACAGAGUGAGACUCCAUUAAAAAAAAAAUCAUUUAUCAUGACCAAGUGGGAUUUAUCCCUGGAAUGCAAGGAUGGUUCAACACAUGCAAAUCAAUCAAUGUAAUACAUCAUAUCAAAAAGAAUGAUUAAAACCAUAUGAUUAUUUCUAUUGAUGCUGAAAAAGUAGUUUAUAAAAUCCAACAUCCCUUCAUGAUAAAAACCCUCAAAAAACUGUAUAAAAGAAAUAUACCUCAACGUAAUAGCCAGAUAUGACAGACCCACAGCUAGUAUCAUACUGAAUGGGGAAAAAGUGAAAGACUUUCCUAUAAGAUCUGGAACACAACAGGGAUGUUCACUGUCACCACUGUUAUUCAACAAAGUACUGGAUGUUCUAGCUAGAGCGAUCAGACAAGAGAAGAUAUAAAGGCCAUCCAAACUGGAAAGGGAGAAGUUAAAUUACCCUAGUUUGCAGAUGAUAUGAACUUAUAUUUGGAAAAAACCUAAAGGCUCCACAGGAAAACUAUUAGAAUCAAUAAAUUCAGUAAAGUUGCAGGACACAAAAUCAACAUAUAAAAACCAGUAGCAUUUCUAUAUGUCAACAGUGAACAAUUUGAAAAAUUUUAAAUUUAAGAAGGUAAUUUCAUUUACAAUAGCCACACAUAAAAUUAAAUACCUAGGAAUUAACCAAAAAUGUGCAAGAUAUCUAUGAGGAGAAUUAUAAAACAUUGAUGAAAGAAAUUGAAGAGGACACAAAAAAAAUGGAAAAAAUUCCAUCUUUAUGGAUUGGAAGAAUCAAUAUUGUUAAAAUGUCCAUACUACCCAAAGCAAUCUACAGAUUUAAUGCAAUCCCUAUCAAAAUACCAAUAAUAGUCUUCAGAGAAAUAGAAAAAAAAAUCCCAAAAUUUAUAUGAAAACACAGAAUGCCCAGAAUAGCCAAAAUUAUAUUAAGCAAAAAGAUCAAAACUGGAGGAAUCACAUUACCUGACUUCAAAUUAUGCUACAGAGCUAUAAUCACCAAAACAGCAUGGUACUGACAUAAAAACAGACACAUAGUCCAACAGAACAGAAUAGAGAACCUAGAAACAAAUCCACACACUCACAGGGAACUCAUUUUUGACAGAGUUGCCAAGUACUUAUACUGGAGAAAAGAAAAGACAGUCUCUUCAAUGAAAUGGUGCUGGGAAAACUGGAUAUCCAUAUGCAGAAGAAUGAAACUAGACCCCUACCUCUCACUGUAGACAAAAGUCAAAUCAAGGCUAGGCAUGGUGGCUUACACCUGUAAUCUCAGCACUUUGGGAGGCUGAGGCAGGCGUAUCACGAGGUGAAGAGAUUGAGACCAUCCUGACCAACAUGGUGAAACUCACCCCCCCCCACCCACUAAAAAUACAAAAAUUAGCUGGGCGUGAUGGCAUGUGCCUGCAGUCCUAGCUACUCAGGAGGCUGGGGCAGGAGAAUCGCUUGAACCCAGGAGGUGGAGGUUGCAGUGAGCUGAGAUUGUGCCACUGCACUCCAGCCUGGCGACAGAGCAAGACUCCAUCUCAAAAAAUAAAAAAUAAAUUCAAAAUGUAAUAAAGACUUAAAUCUAAGACCUCAAACAUGAAACUACUAUAAGAAAACAUUGGGGAAAACCUCCAGGACAGUAGUCUGGCCAAAAAUUUCUUGAGCAAUACCCCACAAGCACAGGCAACCAAAAUAAAACUGGACAAAUAGUAUCACAUCAAGUUUAAAAGCUUCUACAAAGCAAAGGAUACAAUCAAUAAAGAGACAACCCACAGAAUGGGAGAAAAUAUUUGCAAACUACCCAUCUGACAAAGAAAUAAUAACCAGAGUAUAUAAGAAGCUCAAACAACUCUAUAGUAAAAAAAAAAAAAAAAAAAAUUCUAAAAGUCUAAGUAAAAAAAUGGGCAAAAGAUUUGAAUAGACAUUUCUCAAAAGAAGACAUACAGGCCAUGCGUGGUGGCUCAUGCCUGUAAUCCCAGCACUUUGGGAGGCCCAGGCGGGUGGAUCACUUGAGGUCAGGAGUUCGAGACCAGCCUGACCAACAUUGUGAAACUCCGUCUCUACUAAAAAUACAAAAAUAAGCCAGGCAUGGUGGCGCACACCUGUAAUCCCAGCUACUCAGGAGGCUGAGGCAGGAGAAUCGCUUAAACCUGGGAGACAGAGGUUGCAGUAAGCCGAGAUCACACCACUGCACUCCAGCCUGGGCAACAAAGUGAGACUCCGUCUCACAAAAAAAAAAAAAAAAAAAAAAAAAAAAGAAAAGAAAAAGGAAGAAGACAUACAAAGCCAGGUACAGUGGCUUAUGCCUCUAAUCCUAGCACUUUAGGAGGCCAAGGCAGAUGGAAUUGAGCCCAGAAGUUUGAGACCAGACUGAGCAAUAUGGUCAAACCCCAAUUCUGCAAAAUACAAAAAUAAAAAAUAGCUGGGAGUGGUGGUGCACACCUGUAGUCCCAGCUACUUAGGAAGCUGAGAUGGGAGGAUCACUUGAGCCUGCAGUGAAUCAUAAUUGCACCAAUGCACUCCAGCCUGGGCGACAGAGUGAGAGACAUUGUCUCAAAAAAAAGAAAAAGAAAAAAAAGAAAGGACAUAAAAAUGACAAACAGGCAUAUGAAAAGGUGCUGAUGAUUAUUGAUCCUCAGAGAAAUGCAAAUCAAAACUGCAAUGAGAUAUAAUCUCACCCCAGUUAAAAUGGCUUAUAUCCAAAAGACAGGCAAUAACAAAUGCUGGUGAGGAUGUGGAUAAAAGGGAACCCUCGUACACUGUUGAUGGGAAUGUAAAUUAGUACAACCACUAUGGAUAACAGUUUAGAGGUUCCUCAGAAAACUAAAAAUUGAGUUGCGAUAUGAUGCAACAAUCCUACUGCUGGGUAUAUACCCCACAAAAGACAAAACCAGCGUUUUGCAUGGUGGCUCACACCUGUAAUCCCAGCACUAUGGGAGGCCGAGGAGGGCAGAUCACUUGAGCCCAGAAGUUCAAGACCAGCCCGAGCAACAUGGCAAAACCUGAUUUCUACAAAAUACAAAAAAAAAAUUAGGCAGUUGUAGUGGUUCACACCUAUAGUCCUAGCUACUGUGGAGGCUGAGGUAGGAUCACUUGAACCUAGGAGGUGGAGGUUGCAGUGAGCCAAGAUCAUGCCACUGCACUCCAGCCUGGGUGACAAAGUGUGACCCUGUCUCAAAAAAGAAAAUCAGUAUAUGGAAGAGGUAUCUGCACUCCUAUGUUUUUUACAACACUGUUUACAAUAGCUAAGAUUUGGAAGCAACCUAAAUGUCUAACAGCAGAUGAAUGGAUAAGGAAAAUUUGGUAUGUAUACACAAUGAAGUACUAUUCAGCCAUAAAAAGGAAUGAGAUCCAGUCAUUUGCAACAGCAUGGAUGGAAGUGGAGAUCAUUAUGUUAAAUGAAAUAAGCCAGGCACAGAAAGGCAAACAUGGCAUGUUCUCACUUAUUUGUGGGACCUAAAUUCAAAACAAUUGAACUAAUGGACAUAAAGAGUAGAAGAAUGGUUACCAGAGGCUAGGAAUGGUAGUGGGGGGCUGAAGGGAAGGUGGGGAUGUUUAAUCGGUAAAAAAAAAUUUAGAAGAAUAAGACCUACUAUUUGAUAGCACAAUAGGGGGACUAUAGUCAAUAAUGCACAUUUAAAAAUAGUGUAAUUGAAUGGUUUGUAACUCAAAGGAUAAAUGCUUGAGGGAAUGGAUACCCCAUUCUCCAUGAUGUGCUUAUUUCACAUUGCAUACCUGUAUCAAAACAUCUCAUGUACCCCAUAAAUAUAUGCAGCUAUUAUGUACC
rnacentral:lncRNA from 1 species